GCCUGGCAUGCUGAGAUUCAUGGGGUCUCAAAGAGUCGGACAUGACUGAGUGAGUGAACUGAACUGAUCCUACUGUUCUGCCCCCAAGCUAAGAAUAUUAUGACCUGAUCUCAAGGAAAAGUUGAAAAUCCACUAUAUGGCUGAACUUCAGGAAUUCCCACCAUUCUUCAUUUUUUACUUCUUUAUCUUUCAUUCAUUCACUCUUUCAUUCUCAUAUUCAUUCUAGCCAAUAGAUAAAGAGAAUAUUUAUGAUGAGCUAGUGCUGUGCAAGGCACUGAAUCCUCCCCAUGGUCAGAUACAUUAAUACACUUUACAUAAAGGAAACUUAUAGUACUAGGAGAGGAGGUAAAAGAAAGACAUAAUUUAGAUAUAAAGGUCAGGUGAGGCUCUCCCUGAGAAGCAGCGGUUCAGCUGAAACCAGAGGAAGAGACUUUCAGGUGGAGAAAGCAUCAUGUACAAAGGCCUUUAAGUGGAAAAAGAAUGACUUUUUUGAGAAAUUAAAAGAAGUUCACUAACUGAAGUGUUUAUGUUUCUGUUUUCCCUAAAUCAUUGAUUAUGCAUAAGUGUCUUUUGACCAGAGACCACAUAUUACAUGUAAUGGGAAGAUUUAGAAUCAUAGUCUUUCUGUCCUGAAGAUGCCCUGUAACUUUAAAUCGGCAAAAAGGGGUAUAUCCUAUACACCUUUAAUAUAAAUAUAUUACUUGUAUAAUUAUAUAAUAUAAAAUAAUAAGUAGUUAUAAAGGUUAAGGGUUUCCCUGGUGGCUCAGUGGCAAAGAAUCUGUUUUCCAAGCAGGAGAUGUGGGUUUGAUCCCUGGGUUGGGAAGGCCCCCUGGAGAAGGAAAUGGCAACUCACUCAAGUAUUCAUGGACAGAGGAUCCUGGCAGGUUACAGCUAGAGUUGCAAAGAGUUGGACACAACUCAGUGACGGAGCACACAGGCAUUAUAAAGGUUAAAUUGAUGUAAUACCAUAUACAUGCGUGUGUUUAUUUUGUAUCUAUAUUGGUAUCUAUGAUCUGUGUUGAUGGGUCAGGCUAUUCCCCUCAACUUAAAAGGCAGUAUCCUCCUUUUGUAAGUCACGAGGAAAUCUAUAUGCUGAUAUGAAGAAAGGAGAUCUCUCCACACAUCAAUUAAUGAUUAAGUCCCCCAAAGCCAGCAUUUAUGUACCAUCAUUUUGUUGUAUGUGUGAAAGGUAGGCCAAUGUGAAAACAUGAUAUGAAGCACUCCGAUGAGACAGGGAAAAAAAAUCAACCAGAGAGAAUGCAAGCGCAAAGCAACAACAAUUCAAUCUAGGCGAGAGGGCUCUGAAAAUGUAAGGGAGGCGCAGUCUGCAUAAUUGAAAGUUCAUCCAGAAAACCUCUUAGGACAUCAAAGCUCAGCAUUAAGUUACUCUGAGCAGUGGAGUUCUGAAGAGUUUCACUUCAGAAGUAGAUUUUAAAGACAAUGAAUCUUGGUUGUUUGGAAGAAAUGCCAUCCACAACUUUUAUUUGCUAUUUUAAAAUCUGUUUAGCAUUGUUUUCUCCCAAGUCUAUUUAAUCUUACUUCAACACUUUCUAAAUUCACAGUAAUAACGGUUUUUGAAAGAGAGCAAGGGAAUCGUGUCCUUUUUUCUUAUCCAAAUGAAGUAAUCCUUUGGGCAUGAAUAUUUCAAAGCAUUUAUAUUUAUAUUGCAUUAUAAAGUAAAUAGAUUUUUUUGGUGCAUUGAUCUUGAUGGAGGGAAGAAUCAAUAGAUGAGACACAACAUUGAGUGGGUAAGCAAGUUGAUACUCAUUAAAGAAANNNNNCAUGAUACCCACUUCCAGGACAGCAAGGACAUAUUUUAAUAUUUCUGAAGUGUCUUAUCAGUGAAAUGAUAAAAACAGUUAUAAAUGGGUGAUUAUUAUGUUCUUUACCUGCUUAUGGAAUACAUAUUUUGUUGUUUGCCUCUGUAAUUCCCAUUCGUAGAUGUUGAAAGUUGAAUAUCGUGAAAACCAUGACUCAUUAUUUUGGGUCACAUAUUGCCAGCUCAUAUUUUUAAUAUAAACACAGCAUAUCACCCCAAGCCAUCAGCCACUGAUUAUCUGAUUAAGGUGUAUUGUUACAAAACCAUAAUUAUACUGUUUUCUAAAGAGAACUUAAUCUCAUUUGUUUUGGUUAGAAUGUUUUGUUUGUAAAACAGAAAUCUAGUGACAAGCAAAAGAGGAAUUUAUAUAAAAAAUAAACACAGGGCCUGAAAACAGGAAUGCAUUUGGAUUGUAAGAAAU
ensembl:lncRNA